GCUUCUUAGAGGGACUAUCGCCGUUUAGGCGACGGAAGUUUGAGGCAAUAACAGGUCUGUGAUGCCCUUAGAUGUUCUGGGCGCGACGCGCGCUACACUGAUGUAUUCAACGAGUAUAUAGCCUUGGCCGACAGGCCCGGGUAAUCUUGGGAAAUUUCAUCGUGAUGGGGAUAGAUCAUUGCAAUUGUUGGUCUUCAACGAGGAAUGCCUAGUAAGCGCGAGUCA
rnacentral:ncRNA from 1 species